CAUGGAGAAGGCAGCGAAGGUUCCAGCAAGUCCCUGACCGCUCAUGAUCGGAGUCGUGUACGACGCCGGCAACAACCCCGCCAUCCCGAACAGAGAACCUUGAAGAACCGCCCCGAACGCUUUGAUGAUGACUAUCUUCACCAUGGUAACGAUGAAGAAGGGCAGCGGCUCCAGAGGAACUUUGACCAGGACAGCGGUGACGAUGAAGACGGACAUGAUGAUGAACAGACUGCCCAUCACCCGCAGACGCUGGGAGACGCUGACAGAGGAAGAGGAGGGUCAGGUGAGAGAAGAGGAAGAGGAAGAGGAAGAGGGGAGUAGGAGGAGGGUCAGAGGAAGAUGAGGGACAGAAGGAGGAAGAGGCAGGUCAGAAUAAGAGUACCACUAGUCUAACUACCCAACCAUUUC